CGGGAUGUAGCCUAGUGGCUAAGGCACCUGCUUUGGGAGCAGGGAAUCGGCAGUUCAAAUCUGCCCAUCCCGA
rnacentral:tRNA from 1 species